UGAAAAGAUUUCUAAUAAAAAAUAUUUAAUGGGGGUUAAAGUAUUUUUAAUAGAAAAAAUUGAUUUAUUUAUAAUGAAAUAGUAUUGUGAAAGAAUUUUGAAAAAUUUUGAAAAUAAAUUUAAUUAAAAGUAAUUUUAAUUUAAUGUAUCUUGUGUAUCAGAGUUUAUUAAAAAAUUUUUUUAAGUGAAAAUAUUUCGAAUUUAAAAGAGUUAAUUAAUUAAUAAAGUUAAUGUGGUAUAAUUAUUUUUAAUAAUUAGUUUGAAAUGAAAUGUUAUUCGUUUUUAAAUAUAUCUAAUUUUUUUAGAAAAAAAUUUAAUUUUAAAUUAAUUUUAAUAGUUUUUAUUAAUUAUUAUAAUAAAAACAAAAUUUAAUUAAAUAUUUUAGGGGAUAAGCUUUAAAUUAAAAUUUUAUAAUGAAUUAAUUAUAAAUAAAUGAAAUUUUUAAAAUUUAUAUUUUUUAUAAAUUAUAGUUUUUUAUAAAUAAUUUCAUUUGAUUUAAAAUUUAAAAAUUUAUUUAAUUUUUUAUAAAAAAAUAAUUUUUAAUGUAAUAAAAUUAGAAAUAAUGAUUAAAUUAGUAUAUUUAUGUAAAAAUAAUAAAAUAAAAAAAAAUUAAUAAAAAGGAAUUCGGCAAAAAUUUAUAUUCACUUGUUUAUCAAAAACAUGUCUUUUUGAAAAUAAUUUAAAGUCUAAUCUGCCCACUGAAUAAAUUUAAAGGGCUGCAGUAUAUUGACUGUACAAAGGUAGCAUAAUCAAUAGUCUUUUAAUUGAAGACUUGUAUGAAUGAUUUGAUGAAAUAUAAGCUGUCUCUUUAUUAAAAAUAGAAUUUAAUUUUUUAGUUAAAAAGCUAAAAUAUUUAUAAAAGACGAGAAGACCCUAUAGAGUUUUAUAUUUAUUGUUAAUUUAAUUUUAUAUAAAAAUUUAAAUUAAAUUAUUAAUAAAUAUUUUAUUGGGGUGAUAGAAAAAUUAAAAAAACUUUUUUUAAAAAAAUUACAUUGAUAUAUGAAUAUAUGAUCCAUAAUUUAUGAUUACAAGAAUAAAUUACCUUAGGGAUAACAGCGUAAUUUUUUUUUUUAGUUCAAAUAAAAAUUAAAGUUUGCGACCUCGAUGUUGGAUUAAGAUAAAAUUUAAAUGCAAAAGUUUAAAAUUUUGAUCUGUUCGAUCAUUAAAAUCUUACAUGAUCUGAGUUCAAACCGGUGUAAGCCAGGUUGGUUUCUAUCUUUAUAAACAUAAAAUAAUUUAGUACGAAAGGAUCAAUUAUUUUAAAUAAUUUAAUUUAAAUAAGAAUUCUAAUAAAAUAGUUU
rnacentral:rRNA from 1 species